UACGUAGGGUGCAAGCGUUGUCCGGAAUUAUUGGGCGUAAAGAGCGUGUAGGCGGCCCGACCAGUCCGCUGUGAAAGUCCAGGGCUCAACCCUGGAAUGCCGGUGGAUACUGUCGGGCUAGAGUCCGGAAUGGGCGAGUGGAAUUCCUGGUGUAGCGGUGAAAUGCGCAGAUAUCAGGAGGAACACCAAUGGCGAAGGCAGCUCGCUGGGACGUGACUGACGCUGAGGCGCGACAGCGUGGGGAGCAAACAGG
rnacentral:rRNA from 1 species